AGUGAACGCUGGCGGUAGGCCUAUCACAUGCAAGUCGAACGGCAGCACAGUAAGAGCUUGCUCUUACGGGUGGCGAGUGGCGGACGGGUGAGGAAUACAUCGGAAUCUACUUUUUCGUGGGGGAUAACGUAGGGAAACUUACGCUAAUACCGCAUACGACCUACGGGUGAAAGCAGGGGAUCUUCGGACCUUGCGCGAUUGAAUGAGCCGAUGUCGGAUUAGCUAGUUGGCGGGGUAAAGGCCCACCAAGGCGACGAUCCGUAGCUGGUCUGAGAGGAUGAUCAGCCACACUGGAACUGACACGGUCCAGACUCCUACGGGAGGCAGCAGUGGGGAAUAUUGGACAAUGGGCGCAAGCCUGAUCCAGCCAUACCGCGUGGGUGAAGAAGGCCUUCGGGUUGUAAAGCCCUUUUGUUGGGAAAGAAAAGCAGCAGGUUAAUACCCCGCUGUUCUGACGGUACCCAAAGAAUAAGCACCGGCUAACUUCGUG
rnacentral:rRNA from 1 species